UAAUGGAUUCCCAGAAAUGUAAUGAAUAUGUAUCCAAUUUCCUGGAAACAAUUGAUUAUGUAUUAGUUUGGCCUAUAUCUAUAGCUCACUUUUUCCUCACAGCAUGCAAGUUAGGCAGAUCUAUCCCCCUUGCACCCAGCAUAUGUGCACUGUUGAAAUAAACAUACCUGCUCUCAUUCCUUAAUCUGGCUAUAGAGUUUGAUUUCUGCACAUCAGUUUGGCGACUCGGAUGAGACAACCUCUGUUUGGCUGUGGGACCGGCUGAGAGGGGAGACAUCUUUGGUGUGCCCUGAGAUUUCACAGGAUUUUCCUUCCUCAUCCAAUCACUGCAGGAACAGACAAGGACCAUUUGUCGGCGGGCCAGGUACGUGUAUGGAAGAGGGGAACUUGUAAGUCAUGAGGAGACUUCCUACGCAGGGUAUGAAGGAGUGUGCAUCGUGUGUGCACCCCCCCCCAAGGUAUGUGAGCUCAUGGGUUAGGUUGCCAGCUGGGGUAGGAAGACUCCUUGGGGAAGUUCCUACUAAGGGGACCUGUAAGUCGUAUGCAAGGAAAGAGCAAUAGCUCUCCCUUAGAUGAUCAGUGACAGUGGCUAUCUUGUCAACUGAUAAUGUGGAAGUUAUAGGUUGUAUUAUCGUGAUCACCAUCUGUACUGUGUGUUUGAGUAAUUGCUAUCAAAACACACAAAAAUAGUUCAGAGCUCUGAUUUGGUAAAGUGUAAAGUCGGCAUUGUGUGUGAUUGCAAGUGAAUGUCUUGAAUACAUGAGACAUUGUGGCACAGCUGCAGGGCGAGUGCAGAGUAUAAGGGUGAUCGUUGUCUGUCUGUAUGUUUUUGUAUGAAUUUAUGAAUGGGAAUGACGAACCCAUAGAGAGAUUCCCACUCCAUUUGGGAAAUGAAUGUCAACUUGUUUAUGUAACACUGUGUUCUGCUUGCAAGGAGGUGUGUGAGGGAGGUGGGUCAAUCAGUGCUGGUUCUAUGGCAAGGUGCUUAUAACCAAGCGAUAUAGAUUUAUUAGGGGGAAGUUAUAUGGUAUUAAGGGUGUUUGUGGAAACUGAAGAACUGUGUGGUUUGAUUUAUGGGUUUUGAAGGGAGUGGGACAAACUGUUUUGAUGGUAUAAGAAAGUAUAAUUGUUAAUGGUAUACAGAAGUAGAAUUGAGGGUAUGUGGAAGUGUAACUGAGGGUACAAAUAGUGGAAUAGUGUACAAAGGAAAAAGGGUUAAAGAGAAAGUGAGUUUAUCUGUGCUGGCAUGAGAGCAAUCCCCCCACCCCCUUCCCUCACUAGCAGAAUGCUAGGAGUGACAGACUGAGCCGGGGUGGAGACUGCUGCUCCCAUUGCUUGCAAGGAGGGGAGGUGGAGAGGAUAGGGUACUGGAAGUGAGAAUGGCCUUCAUCUGCAAAGAUCUAAGAAACCCAAAAUCCUAGUGUUAGCACUGGAAGCUUCUGGAGAGGAGGAGGUAAAAUUGAAAUAUGAUGUUAGUAGUUUAAUGAUGAGAGUUUGGAAACUGCAAAGUUUGGGAAGGACACAGACUGAGGAAGGCAAAGAUGAGCAGGGUGUAACAGGGAUGUCAGUACUGAAGAGAAGUGAGCGGUAUGAAAGAAAAGAGAGAAAAAAACUGAUUGCGAAACAGAGAUAGUAAGGAAACUGGGAAUAACAGCAGCUGUUACUUUUGCAGCACUAGAGCAGGGCCGUAGGACACAGAGAUCCCCUCAGAGGAAGGUGGGAGGGCUGGAAGAGCCAAGAGAAGAGGGGGCUCCGCCCUACUGGAACAAACUGCAGUGUAAUGGGACACUGGUGGAGAAAUCCUACCAAGAUGAGUGAGGGGGAACUGUUUCUGAUUGCAAAGCUGAAGGAUGGGAACCUGGGAAGUUUACCAUAGCAGAUCCACUGAUUAACUUGCAGCUAGGGGAGCAGGAUAAAGAGAUUUAUUUUCUGGUGCACACGGGUGCCUCUUACCACCCAUAGAUGAUUUUGCAACAGUAGUAGGAGAUGCUUACUUUUGGGGAUCAAUUAAAUACAGGCUGAGAAAACAUCUAGGAAUAUGUAAAUUCUUGUACAUGCCAGGUUACUCUGGCAAGAAAUUGAAUGAAACUGGAGUAAGGGUCAAAUUGAGAAUUGUAAGUCUGGUUUUAACGCAAACUGGUAGAAACAAGGUUGUACCCCAGAGGUUACAGAAAUCUUAAAUAAGGUGCGCUUAGGAGUGUGAGUAUCAGGGAUACCUGGCAGAGCCAAAAAUGCAGCCCUAAACAGAAGUUAAGUUAAAAGCAAGAGUUAGCCUAGUCAGGGUAAAGCAGUGCCCUUUGAAGAUAUGUGAUUGUAGAAGGAUAAAAGAAAUAGUAGAUAAUUUUUGGAGUUUGGAUUACUAAUUGAAUAUGAAUCCCAAUACAAUACUCCAAACUUGCUGAUGAAAAAUUGGAAAGCAAGUGCUAUAGUUUGGUACAAGAUUUGAGGGCAAGUAAUUGCAUGCAUGCACUCGGUGGAAAAUUCAUACACUAUUAACGAGGUUAAGGAAUGAGUAGGUGGAGUUUACCUUCUGGAUUUGAAGGAUGCCUUUUCUGACUGAUUUGGCCAAAGGAAGCCUAAAGUUGUUUACCUUUGAAUAGGAAAACCCUGAUAUGGGGAUUAAAAAAAAACCUGGACAGUGUUACCCAGGGUUGUGAGAACAGCUCAGUGAUUUUUGAGAGCUGGUCAACUCGUGAACCUGAGACUUGGGUUCCUCCAUCCCAGGAUGGAACUUUACUGCAAGGAUGUGGAUGCCACGGAAACAAAAGAGUGUGUGUACAGUGGACUGUGAGUUUACUGAAUUUCUUGGUUUAAAUGAUUAUCAAGUUUCUGAACAGAAAGCACUAAUAACUCAGCAGCAAGUGACGUAUGUGGGAUAAGAGAUUACAGCUGGACUUCAAACCUUAACGACUGUCAGGAAAGAAGCCAUCUGCCAACCCCCUGAGCCACAGACUGCCAAGGAAGUCCAUACAUUCCCAGGAAUGACAGGUGGUGCUGACUGUGGAUACACAGCUAUGGACUGUUGGUAAAACCAAAAUAUUCUAUGAAAUGGGGAAGCAAGGAGGCCAUUCCCUCAGUUGAAACAACAACUCAUGAAGGCCCUCUGCUUUGGGACUAACAGACAUGACUAAACCCUUCUGCCCUCGCAUGGAAAACAAGGAAUAGCCCUGGGAGUCCUUUGCCCAGAGCCUUGGACCCUAUCAAAGGGGCAGUGGCAUACUUCUCCAAACAGCUUGAUAAAGUGAGUAAGGGAUGGCCAGGGUGCAUGAGGGCAGUAGCUGCACUAUUGCUCAAUAUUCAAGAAGCCAGUAAAGUUAUGCUAGGCCAAAGAAUAACAGUUUUAAUAUCUUAUUCCAUGUCUGCUGUAUUGGAGGUAAAAGAGGGGCAUUGGCUUUCACCUCAAUGGUUCCUGAAAUACCAGGCCAUCCUGGUAGAGCAGGAUGAUGUAGAAAUAAUUGUAACUAAUGUUGUCAACCCAGUAUCUUUUCUUAGUGGAACUCCUAGAGAACCAGUAUUUCAUGACUGCUUUGAAACAACUGAAGCUGCAUAUUCCGGCUGGUCAGAUAUGAAGGAUGAGCCCUUAGAAGAUGCAGAAGCCACCUGGUUUACCGACAGUAGCAGUUUUGUGAAAUAAGGAAACGUAUGUGCAAUGAGUUCUCUCAGAUAUUUCAACUGUGUCAGUUCGUGAUGGAAAACUCCCAAAAUGCUCCUUUAGUUCAUGUGACUUUGGAAACUUUGCUACGAUUUCUGAACUGGAUUCCCCUGGGAUAUAUAUUUGAGACUAAGUUAAUCAGCACACUAAUAUACAAGGCUGGAGAACUGCAGAGGCACCUUUUAGAGCGCCUAACUCCUGCAGAGGCUUAGAGGCGGGCUUUUUCCUCUAACAAGAGGAAAUUUUUUCUCAUGGCAGCUUGCCAUUUCUCAUCCCUGUUUGUCUCCGCUCCAACUGGAUACACUAGUGGGGAAGUUUAGGGCUAUUCGGGCCCAUACUGUGUAUUUAAUGCAGAUUGCACAUAAAUCUGGCUGACCGUCUGUAUCCCUACCUCCCAGAUAGCACACAGCCUGUCUCCUUGAUGUCAGUCAGCUGUUGCAGAAAGUCUUCCACCUGGGCACAUCUUACACAGGCAAGUUUGCCACUCACUUCUGCUGCAGCUGAAAGGUGCAGGCACUUCCCACAUACCAUGGCCUGCACAGAUGCUUCUUCCUUUAGAAGCUAAGUCUGAGUGGAGGCACUGAUGAUGACUGGGGUAGGUGGUGCACACUCCCCUGCCAGAGCUGCAGCCUUAGCUUGGCAUUGUAAAUGCACCAUUCUGCUUUGAAGAUCACUUGGAAUGAGUGCCCCCUCACUUCUGAAGCUGGUAAAACUGUGGUGCCCUGCCAUGCAAGGUGCUGCUCCACCUGUUACAGCACACACACACGGGUGACAGCCAUGCUCUGUUUGCCAACCCUGUACCUUGUGGGCAGCAACUUGUCACUGCUUUUCCCAAGGAAAAGAACAUGGGUAUGGCCUCUGUUGCCUUGCCAACACCCACUUCUGUUAUGAGAGCUGCACACUGCUGGAGGGUCCUUCUACUGUCUUGGUGUUUCCCUGGCAAAGGAAACCUGCAGGCCUCCUCCUGCCUUGAGAUCAGUUGCUCUGGUUCUGGCUGGGCCAGCUUUGAAGCAGCUGCUCUUGAUGACUGGUGGUUCUGGGCUUCAGCCAUAUAAUUUUCCUGACUUUGCCCUGGCAACACCAAUGCCAUGUCAGCCUCUCUUGUGAGAGCUGCCCGUUGCUGGAGGGUCCCUCCAUUGCCUUGGCAUCGCUGCAGUUUCAUGUACGCAUUAAGCUGUCACUGAAACCUGAUGUGACAAAAUGAUUUGUUUUAACCUGGAUAGUGAUUGCUGUGGCUGUAAUAAUACUUUCUGAUAGGAAUGGCUAUGUAGCUAGAAUAGGUGGGAAAGGGGAAUGCCAGUACUAUCUUUUAGCAGCAGUAUUUGUAUUCAUAAUUCUUAUUAUAAUUGAAGGCACUACCAGAACCUGGAACCUCAAGGCACAAUGCGUCCCCACACAGCCCAAGUCAAGUGCUAUUCCUAAAAAGCUUACCAAGUAGGUGAAAAAAUAAUGUUUGAAACAAGUCUCACAAAAUUUAUACAGAGUGAGAGUCUGAGGACUUUGAGGAGUAUGCGGACUUUGCUCUUGUUUGCAGAAGAAAUACUUUUCACCUGAAGCUGAAGUCAAACAGUCACUACAAACCACUGUCACAGCUUGAUGUAAAAUGCUUUCUAAGGCAGCCAAAUUAGCAUAUAUUAGAGGAGACUGUAAGGUUCUAAAGAAUCAGGUUUUAUGGAUUUAUUCUGUUUUGUUUUUUUUUUGUGUGUGUGGGAAGCAGGGACAGGAAGAGAGGCAGGUUUGAGGUGCAGAUGGGGACACAGCUGGAGAUUGUAGCCAGUAUUUGUUAACUGAGUUACUAAAUUUUGUUUGUCUCUGUUGGCAAGACUUAUUAAAGUACUUGAUUAUGGCAUUUGUUUCCCUUCUUUGUCAAGAGAAAAAACCCCUAGUUAAAUCACUCUUUGAAGAGUAGUCACUGAACCAGGGAAGCUAACUUCAACAGCAGUUAAUGUUGUGUGUUUUGUCCCUUCAAGGUAAAAUUAGGGACCUUGAUAAGUCCUGGGAACUUGCUGCUGAUCAAUUUGCAAAGCCAAUUUGCCUCCUAUUUCUGUCACAAUCCUGGGACAAGGAACCUCUAAAGUAUUUUCAAAGACCCGUACCUGUAGUCAAAUGGAAUAACUAUUGCUUUAAGUAGUGAUUCAGUUCUGUCAGCAGUUUACAGCCUGGUUCUGCCUGGCUCCAUGACUAGCAGGGCAAGGGGACCCACAGAGCUAUGGCUGGGGAAAAGAUAGGGAGAUGGGCCUAAAAACAAAACCAGCAGAAUGAUCUGAGGAAAAACAAAACUGAUUUAGUAAGAUAUUGGAA